rnacentral:rRNA from 1 species
GAGCAAACAGGAUUAGAUACCCUGGUAGUNCACGCCGUAAACGAUGAGUGCUAGGUGUUAGACCCUUUCCGGGGUUUAGUGCCGCAGCUAACGCAUUAAGCACUCCGCCUGGGGAGUACGACCGCAAGGUUGAAACUCAAAGGAAUUGACGGGGGCCCGCACAAGCGGUGGAGCAUGUGGUUUAUUUCGAAGCAACGCGAAGAACCUUACCAGGUCUUGACAUCCCUCUGACCGCUCUAGAGAUAGAGUUUUCCUUCGGGACAGAGGUGACAGGUGGUGCAUGGUUGUCGUCAGCUCGUGUCGUGAGAUGUUGGGUUAAGUCCCGCAACGAGCGCAACCCCUAUUGUUAGUUGCCAUCAUUCAGUUGGGCACUCUAGCGUGACUGCCGGUAAUAAACCGGAGGAAGGUGGGGAUGACGUCAAAUCAUCAUGCCCCUUAUGACCUGGGCUACACACGUGCUACAAUGGCUGGUACAACGAGUCGCAAGCCGGUGACGGCAAGCUAAUCUCUUAAAGCCAGUCUCAGUUCGGAUUGUAGGCUGCAACUCGCCUACAUGAAGUCGGAAUCGCUAGUAAUCGCGGAUCAGCACGCCGCGGUGAAUACGUUCCCGGGCCUUGUACACACCGCCCGUCACACCACGAGAGUUUGUAACACCCGAA